CCUAGGCUACAUACGGGGACUUGUUCCUCAUCUUCUCGCCUAGGGGAAAGUCCCCGGACCUCCGGCAGAGAGUGCCGCGUGCGCAUGCACGUAGACUCACCCCGCCCCCCACGGCUAGUCCGCCAAGAAGCGCCCUUCCGCGGCAGGGCGCCGAGCGGCGUGAUGCGGGGCGUCGUCCGUCACGGUCACAGUU
ensembl:misc_RNA RNase_MRP RNase MRP